GGCCAUACUUGCGGCAUAUGGAGGUUCCCAGGCUAGGGGUCGAAUCGAAGCUGCAGCUGCUGACCUACACCACAGCCACAGCAACACAGGAUCCGAGCCACAUCUGUGACCCAUGCCACAGCUUGCAGCAACGUGGGAUCCUUAAACCACUGAGCGAGGACGGGGAUCAGACCUGUGUCCUCAUGGAUACUAGUCAGGUUCUCAACCCGCUGAGCCACAAGGGGAACUCCAUAUCCAACUUAAAAAACAAAACAAAACUGUGAGUAACCUAUCAGUAUUUUGUUGAAAUGAAUUCCAUAUAAACUUUAGACCCUGGAGUUUUGACAUCUAUCUGCUCCAGCAAAGCAUGCAGGUAUGGGGAGAGAAAGCACUGCCUUCAAGGUUAUGCCACGGCCCUGAUUCUUCAAACUGUCCUCACACUUUUAUCCUUUGGUCACUCUGACCCUAGAAAUUGGGAUUCAGUUCAGCACCAUUCUCUUAUUCGAUUAUGCCAAUAUUCCUAGGUUUUUAUGGCUACAAUUUAAAUUAUGAGAAAGCCUGAUUUUAAAACCCAUGUUGGACGUAGAAAGAACAACCUUGUAAAUUCAAUAAAUAAAUAAAUAAAUAAAUAAAUAAAUAAAGGCUCAGCUUUGGUCGUCAAGGGCUUGGCCCUAAGAAUUCUAAGAAAUGAUACACAGUUUGAACAAUGUCUCAAAAAAUGGCUGAGGUUUCAUAUCUUCUAUUUAAUUUAGACAAAAAGUACUACCAAAAAGAACCAUGCUCCCAUCCCAGCAGAUUAAUUUGCAAACUAGUGAAAUUAUGCUGCUCUGGUGAAUUCCAGCUCAUCACUUCCAGCGUCACUGCAUCUGUUAAAGGCUUUCUCCCACUCAUCGAAGCUUGAAACCUGUGACUUCUUCCACUCCUUCAUUUGAAGUAACCAGCUUUCACUGAGACCUGGUUCCGCCUCUUUACUGUGCACACAAAGGUGACUUUGGAGUCUGGGUAAGGAAGCUGCAGCAAGCAAAGGUGACAGAAACAACAACGACAAAAAGAAGCGGGGAGGCAUCUGUAUGUGCCAGGCACCUUGACAAGUACUUCCUGGGUAUUAAUUCAUUUUAAGGGCACUCGGACAAUCCCACGAUGUAGGUACUACUUAUGAGUAUUACGUCCAGUUGUAAGAUACGGUGCAGAGGGAAGCAGGCUAGUAAGCGAAGAGCUGAGAGGUGAGCCCAGGCAAGUCAGGGUCUUUUAGCCACCAAGCCAUUCGCCUCUUGGUAAUGACGUCACCCAGGAAAAUAGUGAAGGUUGAACACUCAGGAAAUACCUGGCAAGCCUGCAGCUGGGAAGGGCUGGUUGUCCUCUGGCCGGAGAUCACAUCAGAUGUUGUUUCACUGUGACAGCCAGAGCAGGAAGGAGGGGGCAGAGAAGGGCAUCAGAAGGAAAAGGAAGGGUGGGGGUUGGGCGGGUCUGGAACCCAAGGAGCUAAUUGCUAGGCCUUUGCCAGGGCCAGAAAGGGCAGACGCGGCUGCUGAUGGGCUCUGAGAACAGUCUGGUUAGUGCAUUAAAUGUGAACGGGCAGCCGUCCUGGCAGGGGGAGGGCUGGGAGCACUUAAAAUGGAAACUGUUCAGAGUAACCCUAUGCUGAGAGGCUGAUACCCUCAACUGUAAACAGCCUGCACCUGAAACUCCCUCUUCAGGUAACACAGCUUGUACCAGCCAACAUCGGUGGUCCCCAGGCCCCCUCCUCUCCUCCACACCUCUCUGCUGGCUGCAGAGAGAAAUGCAGGGUUUUCAGCAUGUGGUUUCCCUUGAUUGACUCUGAAAUAAAGAUUAUGAGCGCUGCUCAAAUACGGAAGGAGACAAAGGUCACAAACAUAACCGGGGGGGGGGUGAAAUUCCAAAAUUUCUAGAAAGUUCAAGGUGUUUCCAAAGUAUGUCACCUAUUACAGACGAUACUGUAAGUGAAUCCAGACUUCUUCUCACGGUCACUUUUCUGGGUCCUUUGGAUGGAGAGACUGACAGAAGUUUCUGCGUCUGGACUUGGAUUUGAUCCCAGAGGAGCAAUGACUCACAGCUUAGCCUGAGACAGCCCUGAAAAGGUCUCACUGCGGGACCUGAUGACAUGCUUAUCCAUCCCAGAACCCGAUUCCAACCCCCCUUGGGUUGGGCUCCUAGGUGACCAUCCCUGGGCUAGUGCUUAGCACGCGUGCUCUAUAAUUCAGUCAUCACGCUUGGCCUUCACUCCAGUUCUGGGCCCCGCCUGCCAGGCCCUUCCCUCCCUAGUUAGCACCCCAGGAGUCCUUCCUUGGCCUGCAGAUGAUCCUCCACACCCCACCUGAUGUCUCUGUGGUCCAUGCUCCUGACAUCCUUUGUUCCUCCCCGGUCACUUCUUUUGGUGCUGCUGGGCUGCCAAAGGUAUAUUCACUGGGUAGUUGUUAAGAAGGCCGUACGGUACAGUGCAAAGAGCUGGGCUCAAGGGUCAGCUCUACAAUUUUCUGGCUGAGUUACUGCUUAAGGAAGCAUCUGAGUCCAGUUUGGCACUGGCCAAGUCGUUUUGGUAGAGUGAAUCACCCAUGGAGGGGGCCCAUCAGCCUUCAAUCAAUGGGAGGCAGCCUUUUUUGCAGUUAAAAAUGAGGGUUCCAGAGCCCCCCACCUUGAAUAGGAUCCUGCAUCCACCGUUUAUUAGUGGCAUAACGUGGACAAGUUACUUUACCUCUCUAUACCUCAACUUUUAAGAGACUGUUUUAGAGGCAAAACAAGAAAUGCUUACCUAUGAUUACAUUAUAGAAGCAAAUGUUAUCAUCCUUAACUAUGAAUAAAGCAUCAACCAAAAAAAAAAAAAACUAUAGCGAAAAUUAUACUUAAUAAGGAAAUAUUUUCCCUCUGAGAUCAGGACCAAGCAAAGAUAUUCCCACUACUCUUAUUCAGCAUCAUAAAUGGAAGUCCUAGUGAGUACACAAGAAAUAAGUGGGAUACAUACUGGAAAGGAAGAAAUAAAACUGUCCCUAUUCACAGACAACAUGAUUUUCUCUA
rnacentral:lncRNA from 1 species